GCCUGAGGCGAUAGCCGGAGCAACUUCUCAGUUCUCGCUUUCGCCGUCUCUCUCUGGUUUCGAUACUUGGUACGUUUCUUCCUAUUUGUUCAUUGUUAUUUUUAUUAUUAAAUGACUUUUUCUCAUUCGUUGAUAUUGACCAAUUUUUAGAAAAUUAAACUCUUUCUUCGUCAUAGAUAUAGAACUGAAUUGCUAUUUCGGUCACACAGACUUUUGUAUGUACGUUUUGUUAUUGUUAAUUUUCUUUUGUCUAGUUGAACGUUUCAAAUAUGUGUAAUUUCACCCUACCCAUUUUGUCAAAUGUUAAUUCUUUUAAUUUUUAGUUGAAUUCUGAAAGCCGAAUCUAGUUGUCUAAGAAAAGUACUAUGUAAAAGUAUAUAGGCAAGUAAUUUUGAUUUUUUUUAAAUUCAUAUUCUCUUGCUUUUAGGGCAGUUCUUCGCUGCUGAUUCUUUGUUGUUAUUUAGGAAGUAAAACUUAAAAUGGUAGAGCUGAGCUCUGUAUCUAGUUUGACUCCAAUUGCUCCUUCACAAGAUGCAUCUGAACCAAAACAAAACAGUGCUACUCUUUAUGGUGUUGUGCAACCUUCCUUCUCGUACUUGAAUGUGAACAAUCCACCUUCUAGAAGUUCACAGCAGUCAUCUGCUAGUCCGGUAAGUAAUUGCAAAAAAAGAAAAUAUUGUAUUUACUUAAAUAUACAAAGGGUUGUUCAUUGUGUUCUCUUUAUUAAAUC
rnacentral:lncRNA from 1 species